GCUGUCUGAGAUGUCUGUAUCAAUUCUUUACACCUGUCUGAAGAGUCUUUAUCUUGUUGCAUAAUUAUGUCUGCCAAUACUGUCUAAUGAGUCUCCUCCAUCAGUAAAAUCUUCUGGAUUAUCUUCUGAAUUAUUGUCUUUGGAAUCAUCCAAAUCUCUUUCUUGUUCAAUCUUCUUUUUACCUUUAUUUUUCUUUUUAAUUUGUAAUUUCUUUUUCUUCGUAAUACUUUGUUUAACUUGUUGCUGAAUCUCCUCAAUCUUAUCAAGCAUUUCUUUGAUCUUUCUAAUGUCUGACUGAGAAAUCUGUUCUGGAUCCUGAGCUGAUUGGAAUGAGCUUUGAAAAUUAAUUGGGUUUUUCUGUUUAAGAUCUAUUGGACUAAUAAGUCUAGUAGCAGAAUUAUCAGUCUGCUGUGUCUGUUCUUCUGAAUUAAUUGUAACAGGAUUUUCAGCCUGUUGAGUCUGAGAAGUAGAGGAAUCAACAGUCCUCUGAGUCUGUUGAGCUUUUG
rnacentral:lncRNA from 1 species